GCCUUAUACUAAGUGAUGCAACUAUCAUCAAACUAUAUAUAGCAUCCACCCACAUGUUUGAUAUCUAUCCAUGUUGUUAAGUUAUUCAUAUAUUGGUCUAUGAGUUUGCUUUAUCAAAUAAAAUACUUUUCUUACCCAUUUAUCAUUGAUUUUAUUCAUUUAAGUGUAUAUUAGCAACAUGUACAAUCUAGAAAAUGAGAC
rnacentral:lncRNA from 1 species